rnacentral:rRNA from 1 species
AUUGAACGCUGGCGGCAGGCCUAACACAUGCAAGUCGAUCGAGCGGCGGACGGGUUAGUAAUGUAUGGGGACUGCCCGAUAGAGGGGGAUAACUACUGGAACCGGUAGCUAAUACCGCAUACUAUCGGAUAACCCAUAUGGGAUUAGCUAGUAGGGGCGGUAAUGGCUCACCUAGGCGACGCUCCCUAGCUGGUCUGAGAGGAUGAUCAGCCACACUGGGACUGAGACACGGCCCAGACUCCUACGGAGGCAGAAGUGGGGAAUAUUGCACAAUGGGAGCAAGCCUGAUGCAGCCAUGCCGCGGGUAUGAAGAAGGCACUAGGGUUGUAAAGUACUUUCAGUCGGGAGGCGUUACCGACAGAAGAAGCACCGGCUAACUCCGUGCCAGCAGCCGCGGUAAUUC